rnacentral:rRNA from 1 species
UUCCGUAGGUGAAACGUGCGGAAGG